GAUGGGGGGGGGCAAGUGUUCUUCGGAAUGACUGGGCGUAAAGGGCACGUAGGCGGUGAAUCGGGUUGAAAGUGAAAGUCGCCAAAAAGUGGCGGAAUGCUCUCGAAACCAAUUCACUUGAGUGAGACAGAGGAGAGUGGAAUUUCGUGUGUAGGGGUGAAAUCCGUAGAUCUACGAAGGAACGCCAAAAGCGAAGGCAGCUCUCUGGGUCCCUACCGAUGCUGGGGUGCGAAAGCAUGGGGAGCGAAUAGG
rnacentral:rRNA from 1 species